CCUCCCCACUGAGAGCUGGUGUGUGUGAGAGGACUGGAGCAUCAUCCAGGUGGGGCUGCACACUGGUGGGGGGAGUGGGAUUCCCCCUGACCUGGGAAGAGCUCCGAGUGGAGGGUCCAGA